GGAGGUUUAGGCUCAGCUGGGAAGCAUCUGCCUUCAGCAGAGGUCAGCGGUUCGAUCCGUUAACCUCCA
rnacentral:tRNA from 1 species